GGUAUAAUAGCUCAGUGGUAGAGUGCAUGCUUAGCAUGCAUGAAGUCCUGGGUUCAAUCCCCAAUACCU
rnacentral:tRNA from 1 species